CUGUAACCCGCUCUCUAUAAAUUCAUUGUCUAGGGUCCUUUGGGCCAGAACCACUUACUUGCUGGGUCUGGGCCCCAAAAACAGACCCUACAAUAGGAAAAUUGGAAAAAAAAUGAUAAUGAGGUGGACGAUGAUAUGGCUCAACUGGAGUGUAGCAAUAAUAAAUGCUACGUUUCAGCUUUUAGAUAUAUAUAGAUUAUUAUUAAUGGACACUACAUAAAGCUCUAGACCAGAAAUCAUUGCCAAAAUUAGCACUAUAAUCAUAUUUAGAGCUAGGUAUCAAUAACUUAAAUAGAACUAUUAAAGACUUAUUCAAUGCUGUGACUUAUGUAGUUAGUCAAUUUCAGAAAAGUAGGAAUGUAGAAAAAAGUGGAAAAGAGAAGGGGGGAUGGGGGUGGGGGAGAAAUUUAACAAGAGCAUGCCUCUAUCUUAUGUGCCUAAUUCAAUUUCAUUAAUGCACAUUCAAUGAUGAUUUUCUCUUCCAUCAAAAUUACACAAUUCUUUGGAGGAAGGUCAAUUUGUGAUCCAGCCACCACCAAUCACAAGAGCAGAUUUUGAUAAAGUACUUGCAAGACAGAAGCCAACUGUAAGUAAAGCCGAUCUUGAGGUGCAUGAGAGAUUCACGGAGGAGUUUGGGGAAGAAGGCUGAUUGCUUGAGUUUGAACACAAGGGCUGAUUAACUAUUAGAAACAGGUAAAACUACUAGUAUAGGUAAAUGAAAUAUGUAUAUAUAGUCGUCAAUAUAGCUUGUAAUAGAAAGUUCAGCGUCUUUUUAAGAGAACACCGUGCCAUAUUGUUUCAAUCUCUGUCUGUCUCACCAGAAGAGGAAAAAGAGGUGGAAAGCUCUUAAUUGAUGUUUAGUGUUACUGGUCAUAGUCUCCAUAUUCAAUAAUGAUUGAUAAUCUUACCAAUUUUUUCCCAUC